rnacentral:lncRNA from 1 species
UUGAAAUUAAAAGGUAUAUAGGAUUAAAGGGUAUUUAAGAUUAAAGGGAUAUAUGAAUUAAGAGGAAACAUAGGAUUAUGGGGUAUUUGAGAUUAGGGAUAUAUUAGAUUUAGAAUAUUUCAAAUCUCAAAUACCCCUUUAAUCUCAAAUGCCCUUUAAUCUCAAAUAUUCCUUAAUUUAAAAUAUCAUUAAUCUCAAAUACUCAUAAUCUCAAAUGUCUUUUCAUCUUAUAUACCCCUUGAUCUCAAAUACCCUUAAUCUCAAAUACCUUUUUAAUCUCAAAUGCCCUUUAAUCUCAUAUAACCCUUAAUCUAAAAUGCUCUUAAUCUCAAAUACCUUUAAUCUCAAUUACCCUUUUAAUCUCAAAUGCCCUUUAAUCCCAUAUACCCCUUAAUCUAAAAUGCUCUUGAUCUCAAAUACCCUUAAUCUCAAAUACCUCUAAUCUCAAAUGCCCUUUAAUC